rnacentral:lncRNA from 1 species
UUAGCCCUCUUUCCUUGCCAAGCAAGCUAGUUUAAUGGGUUAAUAGGAUGACAUUGAGCUGAGGGGGUUAUUUUUAGAUGGAAUAGGAGAAUGGGUCGUUAAGUGAUGAAAUUUGAGUUCAAGGGGAUUGAGUGAGAUCGAGCUCGAGUUCCAAGGGGUGAAACAGUAAAUAAGCCAAAAAACAAAGCUUAAUAGCCACUCAAAGUCCCCACCCACCAGACCCCAACAGCCCUGCUAGGUAAAUCUCAUUCCUUUCUCCUUGCUCAGAUCAGAAAUGAUGGCCCCUUCAUCUUCUUUCUUGGCCUCCUUCAAUCUAUCAAACCAGCUACAAAUUCUCAC